GUUUGAUCCUGGCUCAGGAUGAACGCUAGCGGCAGGCUUAAUACAUGCAAGUCGAACGGGAUUCGGGGUAGCAAUACUUUGAUGAGAGUGGCGCACGGGUGCGUAACGCGUAUGCAACCUACCUUUAACAGGGGAAUAGCCCCGAGAAAUCGGGAUUAAUACUCCGUAACAUUGCGGUGUGGCAUCACACUGCACUUAAAGCUGAGGCGGUUAAAGAUGGGCAUGCGUGACAUUAGCUAGUUGGUGAGGUAACGGCUCACCAAGGCAACGAUGUCUAGGGGUCCUGAGAGGGUUAUCCCCCACACUGGUACUGAGACACGGACCAGACUCCUACGGGAGGCAGCAGUAAGGAAUAUUGGUCAAUGGGCGCAAGCCUGAACCAGCCAUGCCGCGUGCAGGAAGACGGCCCUAUGGGUUGUAAACUGCUUUUGUCAGGGAAUAAACCCCCGCUCGUGAGCGGGGCUGAAGGUACCUGAAGAAUAAGCAUCGGCUAACUCCGUGCCAGCAGCCGCGGUAAUACGGAGGAUGCAAGCGUUAUCCGGAUUCAUUGGGUUUAAAGGGUGCGCAGGCGGAUUGGUAAGUCAGGGGUGAAAUCCCACAGCUCAACUGUGGAACUGCCUUUGAUACUGUCAGUCUAGAGUAUAGUUGAAGUUGGCGGAAUGUGUCAUGUAGCGGUGAAAUGCUUAGAUAUGACACAGAACACCGAUCGCGAAGGCAGCUAGCUAAGCUAUAACUGACGCUCAUGCACGAAAGCGUGGGGAUCAAACAGGAUUAGAUACCCUGGUAGUCCACGCUGUAAACGAUGAUUACUCGAUGUUGGCGAUACACAGUCAGCGUCUGAGCGAAAGCAAUAAGUAAUCCACCUGGGGAGUACGAUCGCAAGAUUGAAACUCAAAGGAAUUGACGGGGGCCCGCACAA
rnacentral:rRNA from 1 species